rnacentral:rRNA from 1 species
UAGGGAGUCUUCGGCAAUGGACGAAAGUCUGACCGAGCAACGCCGCGUGAGUGAAGAAGGUUUUCGGAUCGUAAAACUCUGUUGGUAGAGAAGAACGUUGGUGAGAGUGGAAAGCUCAUCAAGUGACGGUAACUACCCAGAAAGGGACGGCUAACUACGUGUCAG